GAUGAACGCUGGCGGUAUGCUUAACACAUGCAAGUCGAACGGACUCUUCGGAGUUAGUGGCGGACGGGUGAGUAACGCGUGAGAAUCUGGCUUUGGGUUCGGGACAACCACUGGAAACGGUGGCUAAUACCGGAUGUGCCGAUAGGUAAAAGAGAAAUUGCCUGAAGAUGAGCUCGCGUCUGAUUAGCUAGUUGGUGAGGUAAAGGCUCACCAAGGCAGCGAUCAGUAGCUGGUCUGAGAGGAUGACCAGCCACACUGAGACUGAGACACGGCCCAGACGAAUACGGGAGGAAGAAGGGAGGAAUGAUACAAAAAGGGCGAAAGCAUGAAGGAGGAAUACCGCGUGAGGGAAGAAGGCUCUUGGGAUGAAAACAUCUUUUCUUAGGGAAGAACAAAAUGACGGUACCUAAGGAAUAAGCAACGGCUAACUACGUG
rnacentral:rRNA from 1 species